UACCUCAAUCCCAACAUGCUUGCGGUUAUCACAGAGCCCAAGAUUGUGAAGGAGGACCACAAGAGCUUGACCCUGUACCUCAUCGACG
rnacentral:rRNA from 1 species